CCUACGGGAGGCAGCAGUGAGGAAUAUUGGUCAAUGGGCGCGAGCCUGAACCAGCCAAGUCGCGUGAGGGAAGACGGUCCUAUGGAUUGUAAACCUCUUUUGUCGGGGAGCAAAAGACGCCACGCGUGGCGUUCCGCGAGUACCCUAAGAAUAAGCAUCGGCUAACUCCGUGCCAGCAGCCGCGGUAAUACGGAGGAUGCGAGCGUUAUCCGGAUUUAUUGGGUUUAAAGGGUGCGCAGGCGGAAGAUCAAGUCAGCGGUAAAAUUGUGAGGCUCAACCUCUUCGAGCCGUUGAAACUGGUUGUCUUGAGUGAGCGAGAAGUAGGUGGAAUGCGUGGUGUAGCGGUGAAAUGCAUAGAUAUCACGCAGAACUCCGAUUGCGAAGGCAGCAUACCGGCGCUCAACUGACGCUCAUGCACGAAAGUGUGGGUAUCGAACAGGAUUAGAUACCCGGGUAGUC
rnacentral:rRNA from 1 species